UUAAUUGAAGCCAAAAUAGAGGCAGUUCAUUGUUAAUGAACAAAAUGAUAAAUUUAUCCAAUUAAA
rnacentral:tRNA from 1 species